AACGAACGCUGGCGGCAGGCUUAACACAUGCAAGUCGAACGCACCUUUCGGGGUGAGUGGCAGACGGGUGAGUAACGCGUGGGAAUCUACCCUUCUCUACGGGAUAGCUCCGGGAAACUGGAAUUAAUACCGUAUACGUCCUGAGGGAGAAAGAUUUAUCGGGGAAGGAUGAGCCCGCGUUGGAUUAGCUAGUUGGGGGGGUAAAGGCCUACCAAGGCGACGAUCCAUAGCUGGUCUAAGAGGAUGAUCGGCCACACUGGAACUGAGACACGGCCCAGACUCCUACGGGAGGCAGCAGUGGGGAAUCUUGGACAAUGGGCGCAAGCCUGAUCCAGCCAUGCCGCGUGAGUGAAGAAGGUCUUCGGAUUGUAAAGCUCUUUUGCCAGGGACGAUAAUGACGGUACCUGGAGAAUAAGCCCCGGCAAACUUCGUGCCAGCCGCCGCAGUAACAC
rnacentral:rRNA from 1 species